GAUGAACGCUGGCGGCGUGCCUAAUACAUGCAAGUCGAGCGAACAGACGGGGAGCUUGCUCCUCUGACGUUAGCGGCGGACGGGUGAUGAACACGGGGAUAACCUACCUAUAAGACUGGGAUAACUACGGGAAACCGUAGCUAAGACCGGAAAAUAUAUUGCACCUCAUUGGUCAAUAGUUGAAGACGGUUUUUCGGUCAGUUAUAGAUGGAUCCGCGCCGCAUUAGCUAGUUGGUAAGGUAACGGCUUACCAAGGCUGCGAUGGGAAGACGCCCCGAGAGGGUGAUUCGCCACACGGGAACUGAGAAUGGGCCCAGACUCCUACGGGAGGAAGCAGUACGGACUCUUCCGCAAUGCGCGAAAGCGUGACGGUGCAAAGCCGCGGGAGUGCUGAAGCUCUUCGGCUCGUAAAGCUCUGUUAUUCGGGAAGAACAAAUGUGUAAUUACCUAUGAACGUCUUGACGGUACCUAGUCAGAAAGCCCCGGCUAACUCCGUG
rnacentral:rRNA from 1 species